rnacentral:rRNA from 1 species
UCUGAUUGAUUCUGUCAGCGCUGUAUGCUCAAGUAAAAGAUUAAGCCAUGCAUGUAAAAAGUUCAACUUUUUGUGAAACUGCGAACGGCUCAUUAGAGCAGCUAUCAUUCUCUUCGGAUAUCCUUUAUGGAUAACUGCGGAAAUUCUGGAGCUAAUACAUGCAACUAAACCUCGACUUUGAAGAGGUGCAGAUAUUAGUACAAACCAAUCGUCUUCGGACGUUGUUUGUUGACUCUGAAUAUCGCAGUUUAUCGGCAGGUAAUCUACCGAUAACCGAAAGAAGUGUCUGCCCUAUCAACCAGAUGGUAGUCUAUUAGUCUACCAUGGUUAUUACGGGUAACGGAGAAUAAGGGUUCGACUCCGGAGAGGGAGCCUUAGAAACGGCUACCACAUCCAAGGAAGGCAGCAGGCGCGUAACUUAUCCACUACUUCAGUGAGAUAGUGACUAAAAAUAAAAAGACCAAUCCUCACGGAUCGGUUAUUUCAAUGAGUUGAGCUUAAAUAGCUCUUCGAGGACCUAGUGGAGGGCAAGUCUGGUGCCAGCAGCCGCGGUAAUUCCAGCUCCACUAGUGUAAAUCGUCAUUGCUGCGGUUAAAAAGCUCGUAGUUGGAUCUGAGUUGCAUGCGUUGGUUCCUCUCUGAGGUUAAUCUUCGCUGCAACUAUUUUGCUGGUUUUCUGCAGAUAGCUUCGGCUUCUGUAGUGGCUAGCGAGAUUACUUUGAAUAAAACAGAGUGUUCAAAACAAGCGAUUGCUUGAAUGCUCGAUCAUGGAAUAAUAGAAUAGGACCUCGGUUCUAUUUAUUGGUUCAAGAAUUGAGGUAAUGAUUAAGAGAGACAAUUCGGGGGCAUUCGUAUCCCUGCGCGAGAGGUGAAAUUCGUGGACCGCAGGGGGACGCCCAAAAGCGAAAGCAUUUGCCAAGAAUGUCUUCAUUAAUCAAGAACGAAAGUCAGAGGUUCGAAGGCGAUUAGAUACCGCCCUAGUUCUGACCGUAAACUAUGCCAUCUAGCGAUCCGGUGGGGUUAUUCGCCUCGCCGGGGAGCUUCCCGGAAACGAAAGUCUUUCGGUUCCGGGGGUAGUAUGGUUGCAAAGCUGAAACUUAAAGAAAUUGACGGAAGGGCACCACCAGGAGUGGAGCCUGCGGCUUAAUUUGACUCAACACGGGAAAACUCACCCGGCCCGGACACCGUUAGGAUUGACAGAUUGAAAGCUCUUUCUCGAUUUGGUGGUUGGUGGUGCAUGGCCGUUCUUAGUUGGUGGAGCGAUUUGUCUGGUUUAUUCCGAUAACGAGCGAGACUCUAACCUACUAAAUAGUUUCACGAUUUUCGGGUCGUGUGAACUUCUUAGAGGGAUAAGCGGUGUUUAACCGCACGAGAUUGAGCGAUAACAGGUCUGUGAUGCCCUUAGAUGUCCGGGGCUGCACGCGCGCUACACUGGAAGGAUCAGCUGGUCGCCCAUUGCCGAAAGGUAAUGGUAAACCGUUGAAACCCUUCCGUGACCGGGAUAGGGAAUUGUAAUUAUUUCCCUUGAACGAGGAAUUCCUAGUAAGUGUGAGUCAUCAGCUCACGCUGAUUACGUCCCUGCCCUUUGUACACACCGCCCGUCGCUGUCCGGGACUGAGCUGUUUCGAGAAGAGUGAGGACUGACGCAGAGGGGCUUUCGGGCUCUGCUGUGAUGGGAAUCACUUUAAUCGCAAUGGCUUGAACCGGGCAAAAGUCGUAACAAGGUACCUGUAGGUGAACCUGCAGGUG